GAGCCCCCAAGGACCUUAGAGAGCAGAUUUGAAAGAACUGUGAUUCACAAUCAGUGAUGAUUCCAUCCCAUCAGGGGGCAUUUGGAAGAAUUUGGGGACUUUUCUGAUUGUCACAACUAGAGAGAAUUAAUUCACAGGAUUAAGGGACGCUAAACGUUUCCAGAAGUGUGGAUCCAUCUUGAACAAUGAAUAAACACAUGAAAGCCAGAAUGGCGUGGACAUGGCAACUAAUGGCAGUACAGGAGUGAACACAGAACAGAAUGCAUCAUGUAAAUUUGGAAAAUGAAGAAAAGAUGAAUAUCAGCACCUUUCUCCUGAUUACAUGGAAUUUGUGGAACUAUAGAAAGAAGAAUACAGCAGAGGGCAAACAAGCUAGAUUGAUCUAACAAGAUAUUAUAAAGUGGCAAAAGCAAGGGUUCUUUGCUCAUUUCCACACCUGAUACUGGUGUCUGAGGAGGACAGACAGCAACUAAGUAAUUCAUUUCAGUCAUAAGAAGUCUGCAUAUGCAUGAAUGACACAAAACUCCUAGAAGUGUUACCCAUUUUGGAACUAGGAACAAAUUCAUAAGGACAUACAUGCUCCACGGGAUGUAGAAAAAAUACCAAGUGUUCUGAAGCUAUCAAACUUGAAGGACAAAUACUACUUGUGAUAAAUGGGCUAAGAUAUAUUUUUAUGGUAACAUUUAUAGAGCAGAUUGACUUGAUGAAUAGGCUUCGGAAAUUAAAUAAAAAGUUGAUGUAACUGGA